rnacentral:rRNA from 1 species
AGUGAACGCUGGCGGUAGGCCUAACACAUGCAAGUCGAACGGCAGCACAGUAAGAGCUUGCUCUUACGGGUGGCGAGUGGCGGACGGGUGAGGAAUACAUCGGAAUCUACUUUUUCGUGGGGGAUAACGUAGGGAAACUUACGCUAAUACCGCAUACUACCUACGGGUGAAAGCAGGGGAUCUUCGGACCUUUCGCGAUUGAAUGAGCCGAUGUCGGAUUAGUUAGUUGGCGGGGUAAAGGCCCACCAAGGCGACGCUCCGUAGCUGGUCUGAGAGGAUGAUCAGGCACACUGGAACUGAGACACGGUCCAGACUCCUACGGGAGGCAGCAGUGGGGAAUAUUGGACAAUGGGCGGAAGCCUGAUCCAGCCAUACCGCGUGGGUGGAGAAGGCCUUCGGGUUGGAAAGACCUUUUGUUGGGAAAGAAAAGCAGCAGGUUAAUACCCCGCUGUUCUGACGGUACCCAAAGAAUAAGCACAGGCUAAAUUCGUG